rnacentral:rRNA from 1 species
AUUGAACGCUGGCGGCAGGCCUAACACAUGCAAGUCGAACGGUAGCACAGAGAGCUUGCUCUCGGGUGACGAGUGGCGGACGGGUGAGUAACGUCUGGGAAACUGCCCGAUGGAGGGGGAUAACUACUGGAAACGGUAGCUGAUACCGCAUAACGUCGCAAGACCAAAGUGGGGGACCUUCGGGCCUCACACCAUCGGAUGUGCCCAGAUGGGAUUAGCUAGUGGGUGGGGUAAUGGCUCACCUAGGCGACGAUCCCUAGCUGGUCUGAGAGGAUGACCAGCCACACGGGAAGUGAGACGCGGUCCAGACUCCUAGGGGAGGCAGCAGUGGGGAAUAUUGCACAAUGGGCGCAAGCCUGAUGCAGCCAUGCCGCGUGUAUGAAGAAGGCCUUCGGGUUGUAAAGUACUUUCAGCGGGGAGGAAGGCGGUGAAGUUAAUAGCUUAACCGAUUGACGUUACCCGCAGAAGAAGCACCGGCUAACUCCGUGCCAGCCGCCGCCGUAA